GACAGAGGGUGCAAACGUUGUUCGGAAUUACUGGGCGUAAAGCGAGUGUAGGCGGUCUCCUAAGUCGGGUGUGAAAGCCCCGGGCUCAACCCGGGAAGUGCACUCGAAACUGGGAGGCUAGAGUAUCGGAGAGGUUGGUGGAAUUCUCGGUGUAGAGGUGAAAUUCGUAGAUAUCGAGAGGAACACCGGUGGCGAAGGCGGCCAACUGGACGAAUACUGACGCUGAGACUUGAAAGCGUGGGGAGCAAACAGG
rnacentral:rRNA from 1 species